rnacentral:rRNA from 2 species
AAAUUGAAGAGUUUGAUCAUGGCUCAGAUUGAACGCUGGCGGCAGGCCUAACACAUGCAAGUCGAACGGUAACAGGAAGCAGCUUGCUGCUUUGCUGACGAGUGGCGGACGGGUGAGUAAUGUCUGGGAAACUGCCUGAUGGAGGGGGAUAACUACUGGAAACGGUGGCUAAUACCGCAUAACGUCGCAAGACCAAAGAGGGGGACCUUCGGGCCUCUUGCCAUCAGAUGUGCCCAGAUGGGAUUAGCUAGUUGGUGAGGUAACGGCUCACCAAGGCGACGAUCCCUAGCUGGUCUGAGAGGAUGACCAGCCACACUGGAACUGAGACACGGUCCAGACUCCUACGGGAGGCAGCAGUGGGGAAUAUUGCACAAUGGGCGCAAGCCUGAUGCAGCCAUGCCGCGUGUAUGAAGAAGGCCUUCGGGUUGUAAAGUACUUUCAGCGGGGAGGAAGGUGUUGUGGUUAAUAACCACAGCAAUUGACGUUACCCGCAGAAGAAGCACCGGCUAACUCCGUGCCAGCAGCCGCGGUAAUACGGAGGGUGCAAGCGUUAAUCGGAAUUACUGGGCGUAAAGCGCACGCAGGCGGUCUGUCAAGUCGGAUGUGAAAUCCCCGGGCUCAACCUGGGAACUGCAUUCGAAACUGGCAGGCUUGAGUCUUGUAGAGGGGGGUAGAAUUCCAGGUGUAGCGGUGAAAUGCGUAGAGAUCUGGAGGAAUACCGGUGGCGAAGGCGGCCCCCUGGACAAAGACUGACGCUCAGGUGCGAAAGCGUGGGGAGCAAACAGGAUUAGAUACCCUGGUAGUCCACGCCGUAAACGAUGUCUACUUGGAGGUUGUGCCCUUGAGGCGUGGCUUCCGGAGCUAACGCGUUAAGUAGACCGCCUGGGGAGUACGGCCGCAAGGUUAAAACUCAAAUGAAUUGACGGGGGCCCGCACAAGCGGUGGAGCAUGUGGUUUAAUUCGAUGCAACGCGAAGAACCUUACCUGGUCUUGACAUCCACAGAACUUUCCAGAGAUGGACUGGUGCCUUCGGGAACUGUGAGACAGGUGCUGCAUGGCUGUCGUCAGCUCGUGUUGUGAAAUGUUGGGUUAAGUCCCGCAACGAGCGCAACCCUUAUCCUUUGUUGCCAGCGGUUAGGCCGGGAACUCAAAGGAGACUGCCAGUGAUAAACUGGAGGAAGGUGGGGAUGACGUCAAGUCAUCAUGGCCCUUACGACCAGGGCUACACACGUGCUACAAUGGCGCAUACAAAGAGAAGCGACCUCGCGAGAGCAAGCGGACCUCAUAAAGUGCGUCGUAGUCCGGAUUGGAGUCUGCAACUCGACUCCAUGAAGUCGGAAUCGCUAGUAAUCGUGGAUCAGAAUGCCACGGUGAAUACGUUCCCGGGCCUUGUACACACCGCCCGUCACACCAUGGGAGUGGGUUGCAAAAGAAGUAGGUAGCUUAACCUUCGGGAGGGCGCUUACCACUUUGUGAUUCAUGACUGGGGUGAAGUCGUAACAAGGUAACCGUAGGGGAACCUGCGGUUGGAUCACCUCCUUA